rnacentral:rRNA from 1 species
UAGUCCACGCCGUAAACGAUGGAUACUAGGUGUCCGGGAAGUUAACCUCCUGGGUACUACAGCUAACGCGUUAAGUAUCCCGCCUGGGGAGUACGGUCGCAAGGCUAAAACUCAAAGGAAUUGACGGGGGCCCACACAAGCGGUGGAGUAUGUGGUUUAAUUCGAAGCAACGCGCAGAACCUUACCUACCCUUAACAUUUCACGCUCGCCUCAGAGAUGAGGUUUUCUCUUCGGAGACGUGAGGAUAGGUGCUGCAUGGCUGUCGUCAGCUCGUGUCGUAAGAUGUCUGGUUAAGUCCAAUAACGAGCGCAACCCUUAUCCUUAGUUACCAGCAUUGAGUUGGGGACUCUAGGGAGACUGCCGGUGUUAAACCGGAGGAAGGCGGGGAUGACGUCAAGUCCUCAUGGCCCUUACGUCCUGGGCUACACACGUGCUACAAUGGUAAUGACAGAGGGCAGCCACCACGCGAGUGGGAGCGAAUCCUUAAACAUUAUCUCAGUUCGGAUUGGAGUCUGCAACUCGACUCCA